UUCAGGCCUGGCACCGUGGCUGUCCCUACUCCCUCAACGUGGACGCGCACGUGCUGUGGUUUGAGAGGAUUGUUGUUGUCUGGUGCGGAGGGAUCCGGCUUUCAUCUGUAAGGUGGCGGUGUGAGAUAAGUUGUCUGAGUCGGAAGGUGCGAGUGCCCGAGGGAUUAUCACGUCCAAAGAUAUCCAUCAAGUUCUCCCUGGUGAAGAGUGAUGUUCAGAAGGAUGUAACUACAAGGAUGGGAUGUUGGAGCCUGUUUUUUCCCAUUAAGAAAAUUUUGGCUCAUUAUAAUCUGCCUACUGGAAGUAUAUUCUUUCAAUAUGAAUCUCUGGAGUGCCUUUGAAGAACUGAUUUGGCAUUUGUACAAUUGGAAACAAACAACUGCAUUUUGUAAUUACUGAGGCUUCAUUUUCUUGACACCUAACGUGACUUGAUCUUCCUCUGGCCCUCUUAUUCUUCCCCGAUUGGCAUCACCACAGCAGACCUAAGUCCCAUUUCAAAAUCCUAUAGGAUUUUAUAUCUCUAAGCCAGAUGUGAUUUCCUUAUUAGAGGAAAGGAGACAGCCCUGAAUGGUAGAGCAAGCAGUGAGUAAAUAGGCUCCAGGAAGAGGGAAGCCAUUACAGGUAAAAGCCCAGCUGGUGUGAAGAGCUAGAUCUUUAGGAUGUUCGAGAAACUUUCUUUAGCCUAAAUUCCCAAAGACACACACCAUCAUUCCAAUUCUGAUUGUGUCUGUAGCUACUUCGAUAAUUCUCUGAGGAUUAGCUUUAUAGACUUUGUAAUUAUAAAAGAAGUACAUACAGACCAUUAAAAUUCAGAAAACAUGGGGCGCCUGGGUGGCUCAGUUGGUUAAGCAUCCAACUUUGGCUCAGGUCAUGAUCUCACGGUUCAUGAGUUCAAAUCCCUUGUUGGGCUCUCUGCUGUCAGUGCAGAGCCUGCUUCAGAUCCUCUGUCCUCCUCUCUCUCUCUGCGCCUCCCCAGCUCACUCAUGUACUCUUUCACUCUCCCUCUCUCAAAAAUAAAUAAACUUUAAAAAGUGAAAUUCAGAAAACAGGGAAUCCUAAAAUAACAAUAGCCCACUGUGAACAUUAUAUUGUAAAUCUCUUUACCCUCCUUGUAUACACAGACUUUCUUUUCAAAAGUAGAAUUGGCUACGUGUUGCUAUUCUUCCUUACCUAACACAAGUGAACAUUUUUCCAUGCCAACAAGUAAAGGUCUAUAGCAUC